rnacentral:rRNA from 1 species
AUUUGGCGGACGGGUGAGUAACACAUCGGAACGUACCCAGUUGUGGGGGAUAACCUACCGAAAGGUAGGCUAAUACCGCAUGAGCUCGGUGAGAGGAAAGCGGGGGACUCGCAAGGGCCUCGCGCGACUGGAGCGGCCGAUGUCCGAUUAGCUAGUUGGUGGGGUAAAGGCUUACCAAGGCGACGAUCGGUAGCGGGUCUGAGAGGAUGAUCAGCCACACUGGGACUGAGACACGGCCCAGACUCCUACGGGAGGCAGCAGUGGGGAAUUUUGGACAAUGGGCGCGAGCCUGAUCCAGCCAUGCCGCGUGAGUGAAGAAGGCCUUCGGGUUGUAAAGCUCUUUCAGGUGGAAAGAAAACGCAUGGGUCAAUACCCUGUGUGGAUGACGGUACCAUCAGAAGAAGCACCGGCUAACUACGUGCCAGCAGCCGCGGUAAUAAU